rnacentral:rRNA from 1 species
UACGGGGGGGGCAAGCGUUGUUCGGAAUUACUGGGCGUAAAGGGCUCGUAGGUGGCCAACUAAGUCAGACGUGAAAUCCCUCAGCUUAACUGGGGAACUGCGUCUGAUACUGGAUGGCUUGAGUUUGGGAGAGGGGCGUGGAAUUCCGGGUGUAGUGGUGAAAUUCGUAGAUAUCCGGAGGAACACCAGUGGCGAAGGCGGCUCGCUGGCUCGAUACUGACGCUGAGGUGCGAAAGCGUGGGGAGCAAACAGG